GACGAACGCUGGCGGCGUGCUUGACACAUGCAAGUCGAACGGAAAGGCCCUGCUUUUGUGGGGUGCUCGAGUGGCGAACGGGUGAGUAACACGUGAGUAACCUGCCCUUGACUUUGGGAUAACUUCAGGAAACUGGGGCUAAUACCGGAUAGGAGCUCCUGCUGCAUGGUGGGGGUUGGAAAGUUUCGGCGGUUGGGGAUGGACUCGCGGCUUAUCAGCUUGUUGGUGGGGUAGUGGCUUACCAAGGCUUUGACGGGUAGCCGGCCUGAGAGGGUGACCGGCCACAUUGGGACUGAGAUACGGCCCAGACUCAUACGUGAGGCAGCAGUGGGAAAUAUUGCACAAUGGGCGGAAGCCUGAUGCAGCAACGCCGCGUGCGGGACGACGGCCUUCGGGUUGUAAACCGCUUUCGCUUGUGACGAAGCGUGAGUGACGGUAAUGGGUAAAGAAGCACCGGCUAACUACGUG
rnacentral:rRNA from 1 species